UACGUAGGGGGCAAGCGUUGUCCGGAAUCAUUGGGCGUAAAGAGCGUGUAGGCGGUCCUGUAAGUCCGCUGUGAAAGUCAAGGGCUCAACCCUUGAAUGCCGGUGGAUACUGCAGGACUAGAGUCCGGAAGAGGCGAGUGGAAUUCCUGGUGUAGCGGUGAAAUGCGCAGAUAUCAGGAGGAACACCGGUGGUGUAGACGGCUUUCUGGACCGUAACUGGCGCUGAGACACGAAAGCGUGGGUAGCAAACAGG
rnacentral:rRNA from 1 species